UACGUAGGCAGCAAGCGUUGUUCGGAGUUACUGGGCGUAAAGGGUGUGUAGGCGGUUGCUUAAGUUUGGUGUGAAAUCUCCCGGCUCAACUGGGAGGGUGCGCCGAAUACUGAGUGACUCGAGUGCGGGAGAGGAAAGUGGAAUUCCUGGUGUAGCGGUGAAAUGCGUAGAUAUCAGGAGGAACACCGGUGGCGAAGGCGGCUCUC
rnacentral:rRNA from 1 species